rnacentral:rRNA from 3 species
GAGAUGAGAAUGUGCCUUCGGGAACCGUGAGACAGGUGCUGCAUGGCUGUCGUCAGCUCGUGUUGUGAAAUGUUGGGUUAAGUCCCGCAACGAGCGCAACCCUUAUCCUUUGUUGCCAGCGGUCCGGCCGGGAACUCAAAGGAGACUGCCAGUGAUAAACUGGAGGAAGGUGGGGAUGACGUCAAGUCAUCAUGGCCCUUACGACCAGGGCUACACACGUGCUACAAUGGCGCAUACAAAGAGAAGCGACCUCGCGAGAGCAAGCGGACCUCAUAAAGUGCGUCGUAGUCCGGAUUGGAGUCUGCAACUCGACUCCAUGAAGUCGGAAUCGCUAGUAAUCGUGGAUCAGAAUGCCACGGUGAAUACGUUCCCGGGCCUUGUACACACCGCCCGUCACACCAUGGGAGUGGGUUGCAAAAGAAGUAGGUAGCUUAACCUUCGGGAGGGCGCUUACCACUUUGUGAUUCAUGACUGGGGUGAAGUCGUAACAAGGUAACCGUAGGGGAACCUGCGGUUGGAUCAC